GUGCCAGCCGCCGCGGUAAUACGUAGGGUGCAAGCGUUGUCCGGAAUUAUUGGGCGUAAAGCGCUCGCAGGCGGUUUGUUAAGUCUGAUGUGAAAGCCCCGGGCUCAACCGGGGAUGUUCAUUGGAAACUGGCAAACUAGAGUGCGGUAGAGGAGAGUGGAAUUCCACGUGUAGCGGUGAAAUGCGUAGAUAUUGUGAGAGGAACACCAGUGGCGAAG
rnacentral:rRNA from 1 species